GAUGAACGCUGGCGGCGUGCUUAACACAUGCAAGUCGAACGGAGAUGUUAUGUAGAAGAAGAAGUAGCUUGCUACGGCUUCAACUUUUUAGCGUCUUAGUGGCGGACGGGUGAGUAACGCGUGGAUAACCUGCCUUAUACUGGGGGAUAACAGUUAGAAAUGACUGCUAAUACCGCAUAAGCGCACAGGACCGCAUGGUCCGGUGUGAAAAACUCCGGUGGUAUAAGAUGGAUCCGCGUCUGAUUGGCUAGUUGGUAAGGUAACGGCUUACCAAGGCGACGAUCAGUAGCCGGCCUGAGAGGGUGAACGGCCACAUUGGGACUGAGACACGGCCCAAACUCCUACGGGAGGCAGCAGUGGGGAAUAUUGCACAAUGGGGGAAACCCUGAUGCAGCGACGCCGCGUGAGUGAAGAAGUAUUUCGGUAUGUAAAGCUCUAUCAGCAAGGAAGAAAAUGACGGUACUUGACUAAGAAGCCCCGGCUAACUACGUGCCAGCCGCCGCUGUAA
rnacentral:rRNA from 1 species